ensembl:misc_RNA Y_RNA Y RNA
GGCUGGUCCGAUAGCAGUAGGUUAUCAGAACUUAUUAACAUUAGUGUCACCACCCCCACUGCUAAAUUUGACUGGCUUUAA